rnacentral:rRNA from 1 species
CGGACGGGUGAGUAAUGCGUAGAAAUUUGCCUUGAAGUGGGGGAUAGCCCGGAGAAAUCCGGAUUAAUACCGCAUGCGCUCUAAGGAGCAAAGCGGGCCUCUUCUUGAAAGCUCGCGCUUUGAGAUAAGUCUACGUCGGAUUAGCUUGUUGGUAGGGUAAAGGCCUACCAAGGCGACGAUCCGUAGCUGGUUUGAGAGGAUGAUCAGCCACACUGGGACUGAGACACGGCCCAG